CCUACGGGAGGCAGCAGUGGGGAAUAUUGGACAAUGGAGGGAACUCUGAUGCAGCGACGCCGCGUGAGUGAAGAAGGAAUUCGGUAUGUAAAGCUCUAUCAGCAGGGAAGAAAGUGACGGUACCUGAGAAAGAAGCCCCGGCUAAAUACGUGCCAGCAGCCGCGGUAAUACGUAGGGAGCAAGCGUUAUCCGGAUUUACUGGGUGUAAAGGGCGUGUAGGCGGGUUGACAAGUCAGAUGUGAAAUCCUGCGGCUUAACCGAAGAACUGCAUUUGAAACUGUUGAUCUUGAGUACUGGAGAGGCAAAUGGAAUUCCUAGUGUAGCGGUGAAAUGCGUAGAUAUUAGGAGGAACACCAGUGGCGAAGGCGGUCUGCUGGAC
rnacentral:rRNA from 1 species